rnacentral:rRNA from 1 species
UCGGGAAUUUUGGGCAAUGGGCGAAAGCCUGACCCAGCAACGCCGCGUGAAGGAUGAAGUAUUUCGGUAUGUAAACUUCGAAAGAAUAGGAAGAAUAAAUGACGGUACUAUUUAUAAGGUCCGGCUAACUACGUGCCAGCAGCCGCGGUAAUACGUAGGGACCAAGCGUUGUUCGGAUUUACUGGGCGUAAAGGGCGCGUAGGCGGCGUGACAAGUCACUUGUGAAAUCUCCGGGCUUAACUCGGAACGGUCAAGUGAUACUGUUGUGCUAGAGUGCAGAAAGGGUAACUGGAAUUCUUGGUGUAGCGGUGAAAUGCGUAGAUAUCAAGAGGAACACCAGAGGCGAAGGCGAGUUACUGGGCUGACACUGACGCUGAGGCGCGAAAGCUAGGGGAGCGAACGGGAUUAGAUACCCCGGUAGUCCCUGAGCGGGCUGGCAAGGCGCAU